CAGCUUCGAUUUGUAAAUCAAAUACGAACUCUCAAACAUACACAAACACAGACGAUCGAUAUUGGAUAUGGUUUUCGUACGUGAUCCCUGUGGCAUUAUCUGCCUGAUUGCUACCUAUGGCGCCGUUAUCUAUGCAGAUUACGUGGUAAUUUGCUGGAUAAUACCGGCAACAAUGCCACUAAGUAUUGGGGUCUUACAUGUUGUGCUCUUCAAUACGGUUGUCUUCCUGCUAGGCAUGUCGCAUUCGAAAGCAGCUUUCUCAGAUCCGGGCUUUGUAUCGCUGCCCGCCAAGCGGCUUGACUUCUCCGAUUCACACUCUGGCAAUGGCCGUGGUACUGAAUGGACUUUGUGCACGCUCUGCGAGAUUUAUAGGCCACCACAGGCCCAUCAUUGUACGAUAUGCCAGCGAUGCAUACGCCGCAUGGAUCAUCAUUGUCCGUGCAUUAACAAUUGUGUGGGCGAGUGCAAUCAGAAGUACUUUCUACAGUUUCUCUUCUAUGUGGGCAUUCUCUGUCUCUACUCCGUGGCGCUGGUACUCGUCUCUUGGAUAUUUCCGUGCACGGAAUGCAGUCUGAGUUUAAUUGAGACCCAAUUGAUGCAUACCAUAGUUUUGAUGAUGGAAUCGACUUUGUUUGGUCUGUUUGUGACCCUCAUAAUGCUGGAUCAGCUGAACGUCAUAUUGUACGAUGAGUCGGUGUUCGAGACGAGAGAGCAAAAGGGUGCAUAUUGGUCAAAAAGUCGUAGAUAUCAAAUGUUGGCGAAAGUAUUUGGCCCAGGGCAUCCGAUGCUUUGGCUUCUGCCCCGCGCUAGCCUAAAUGACGCCACACGCAAUCACGGCGCGGCGCUGCUCAGCCACGAAGUGUAGAAGCUGCGUCCUACAAAUCCUUUAUCUUAUAUGUUUCCUUCUGAUGGUCCCAACGGCCGCCAAAAUCAAUACAUUCCAGUUCGCUGCCCAGGCCCUCGACGCUGAUUGUGAGCUGUUGGAGCGCCUGUCUGGCUACACUGCAGAGGAUGCCCUCCUGGGAGUUUUGAUCCUCGUGCUGGAGGAUCGCCACACACUCCUUCAGCAGAUCAAUGGCAUCCACGAGCUGCCCACGCAACUCACCGCCACUCAGUUUAUUGGCUAUGAAGCCGCUUUUGGCCAGCAGCACUAGCGGCACAUGCAGCUCAUAGAGAUUCAUUGCCCGUGCACGACUCAGGCCCGGCUCAAAGAUGUUCAGCACACGCAACACAUCACGGCAGAGAAUCGCCUUGCGUUCCAGCAGCUGGUCUGUGAGCUGGACCAUCUCGUAGCCCUGCACACGGCCGUACAUCUCGAUGAGCAGCUGGCGCAAACUGGUGGCAAUGUAGUGCGAUGGAUGCAACAGGGAUUUGUAUUUGCGCAGCAAACGUUCCGCUUCCUCCAGACGCUUGGGACCCAUGUCGAGAGCCUGCACAGCAUUCACCUCGGCCUGCAGUGCGUCCACAAUUUGCCGCACAUCCUCGGCACUUGUGCUGUAAUCGCACGACCGGCAGCUCCAACUGCUGUCCACGACUGCAAAGAGAGAAGGGGCACUGCUUAGUCACAGUAUAUAUGUAUAUCGGAAAUGUGUGAAAAGCAAAUGGAAUACCCGUUGGCUGCUUGGGCAGCAGCCAGCCCUCGGUGCACUGGCCACACUUCAGGCUGGAGAAAUGUGUCUGCAGUUCGCUGGCAUCCAGGCAACGUUCGCAGCUGCACACAAAGUAUUUGCCCUCGCGCAGAUGCGCCUGUCGCUGUGCUGUGCCGUCCAAGGUGUAGGUGUAGCUGUGCUGCAGCUGCUGGCCCUCUUCCAGGGCGACCAUGGCACGCAAGCGAAUCCUACAGGAAAUGGAAUGGAAGUUAAAAGCUGUUGACUACCGCGAGCUCCACUCACUUGUAGCCCUCGCUGGGAUGAAUGGUACGCGCCGUGUUCGGCACACAAUUGUGGGCCAAUAUGCCCGUGUAGGGGAACAGGCAGCGCAAGGGGUAGCCCUGGCUGGUGCGUGCCUCGAAUGCAUUUACCUCCAGCACGCCCACCACCUGCAUGAUGAGCUCCUCACUGAAGCGGUCCGCCAGCUUGCACGGACCGCGCAGAUAUUGGGCAAUAUUCACACGGUCCGCAUGCCAGACAUCCGCAUUCUCGCGCCGCUCCAGCUCAUGAUGCUCCAUGGGCGCCACUUCAUUUAGCCAACGCUCCGGCUGUGCCUCCUUCGCCAGCAGUACUCUACGACGGAUAUAAGUAAACGAAAAGGAAUUUAAUAAAAAAAAAAAAAAAACAAAAUGUUGGCACUAG